UACGUAGGGGGCAAGCGUUGUCCGGAGUUACUGGGCGUAAAGCGCACGCAGGCGGUCUCUUAAGUUUGGAGUGACAGUUGGUGGCUUAACUGCCAAAGUGCUUCGAAAACUGAGAGACUUGAGGGCUUCAGAGGGACACGGAAUUCCGGGUGGAGUGGUGAAAUGCGUAGAGAUCCGGAGGAACACCAAAGGCGAAGGCAGUGUCCUGGGGAGUGCCUGACGCUCAGGUGCGAAAGCCAGGGGAGCGAACGGG
rnacentral:rRNA from 1 species